rnacentral:rRNA from 1 species
GUCGUCAGCUCGUGUCGUGAGAUGUGGUUAAGUCCGCAACGAGCGCAACCCUUGCCUUUAGUUGCCAUCAUUCAGUUGGGCACUCUAGAGGGACUGCCGGUGUCAAACCGGAGGAAGGUGGGGAUGACGUCAAGUCCUCAUGGCCUUUAUGCCCAGGGCUACACACGUGCUACAAUGGGCGGUACAAAGAGCAGCGAGCUCGCGAGAGUAAGCAAAUCUCAAAAAGCCGUCCUCAGUUCGGAUUGGAGUCUGCAACUCGACUCCAUGAAGUUGGAAUCGCUAGUAAUCGCGGAUCAGCAUGCCGCGGUGAAUACGUUCCCGGGCCUU